CAUGGUCCGCGGCCCGGCGUCCGAGGAGCUGAUGCGAUGCUCACGCCCACGGGCGUGGCUGUUAACUCUACACCUGCAUCUCAUCCCAGGCGAUUAUCAGGUGGACUACUUGAUCCAGCCCAGCCUGCUGCUCCACGCCAGUCCGUAAUCGUCUCACAGCGAUAACUGCUCGGCGUGUUUUUGAGCCACCUGCCUGUCCACCUGCCCGCCUGGAGUUUUUUGAUCACCUUCAGUAUCCCUCACUUUGCCUUCCCUGGAGCUCCCCGCGGACCUUCACCCCUCCCUCCGGCUCUCACGGCCCCGCUUUGACUCCUCCCUCAGUCCCGUUUUCGGCGUUCCUGCGCGACUCUUCUCCCGGUGCCUUGGUUUCUCUAGUUUCACGUGUGUUUUCCUUAACCCUCCCGGGACACCUUUAGUUAGAAUAAAGUUUAUUUUCUCGUACUCCUGCGUGUGUGUUGGCUCUGCUUCUGGGUUCAGCUUGUGCACUGAACUUCGGUUCAUGACAGUACGGACUGGCCAGUAUGGACCCAGCAGAGCCACUACGCUCCGCUAUUAACAAACAGGGCGCUAUUCUCGGUCGCCACGAUCAGCAGCUCCAGUCACUCCAAGACCGUUACCAGGAGCUCAGUGACACUCAGGAUCAGCUGCGGGUCAACCAGCCCGACCCCGUGCACCGCAGCGUUUCACCUCCUCCGCUGGAACCCUUCCACGGUGAAUUAGACCUGUGUGGGGGGUUCCUUUUCCAAUGCUCCUUAUUUUUCAGCCGCACGCCGCACGCCUUCCCCACGGAUGCUGCUAAGAUUUCCCACUUUGUUGGGUUGUUACGGGGACGGGCUUUAGCAUGGGCUGAGGCUUAUUUAACCUCUCACCCCAUUCGUAGUUGUGAUUUCGACGAUUUUCUGGAGGAGUUCAAGGCGACGUUCUCUCCUCCUGUCUCGGAGGACGACGCCGCACAGAAAAUACUCGCGCUCCGUCAGGGGCGGCGUA